AUACUUACCUGGCAGGGGAGAUACCAUGAUCAUGAAGGUGGUUUUCCCAGGGCGAGCCUUUUCCAUUGCGCUGGGAUGUGUUGAUGCCUGAGAUUUCCCCCAAAAUGGGAAACUCGACUGCAUCCUUUGUGGGAGUAGGGGACUGCAUUCGCGUACUCCCCUG